GACGAACGCUGGCGGCGUGCCUAUACAUGCAAGUCGAGCGAAGUUUUUUCUGGUGCUUGCACUAGAAAAACUUAGCAGCGAACGGGUGAGUAACACGUAAAGAACCUGCCUCAUAGACUGGGACAACUAUUGGAAACGAUAGCUAAUACCGGAUAACAGUAUUUCUCGCAUGGGAGAUAUUUAAAAGUUGGUUAUGCUAACACUAUGAGAUGGCUUUGCGGUGCAUUAGCUAGUUGGUGGGGUAAAGGCCCACCAAGGCGACGAUGCAUAGCCGACCUGAGAGGGUGAUCGGCCACACUGGGACUGAGACACGGCCCAGACUCCUACGGGAGGCAGCAGUAGGGAAUCUUCCGCAAUGGGCGAAAGCCUGACGGAGCAACGCCGCGUGAGUGAAGAAGGAUUUCGGUUCGUAAAGCUCUGUUUGUUAGGGAAGAAUGGACUAUGUAGUAACUUUU
rnacentral:rRNA from 1 species